UACGUAGGGGGCGAGCGUUGUCCGGAUUUAUUGGGCGUAAAGAGCUCGUAGGCGGUUCGAUAAGUCGGACGUGAAAUCUCCACGCUCAACGUGGAGGGGCCGUUCGAUACUGUCGUGACUCGAGUCCGGUAGGGGAGUGUGGAAUUCCCGGUGUAGCGGUGAAAUGCGCAGAGAUCAGGAGGAACACCGGUGGCGAAGGCGGGUCUCUGGGCCGAUACUGACGCUGAGGAGCGAAAGCGUGGGGAGCGAACAGG
rnacentral:rRNA from 1 species